AGCAGUCGCCGCGGGAAUACGAAGGGGGCUAGCGUUGUUCGGAUUUACUGGGCGUAAAGCGCACGUAGGCGGAUCGAUCAGUCAGGGGUGAAAUCCCAGAGCUCAACUCUGGAACUGCCUUUGAUACUGUCGAUCUGGAGUAUGGAAGAGGUGAGUGGAAUUCCGAGUGUAGAGGUGAAAUUCGUAGAUAUUCGGAGGAACACCAGUGGCGAAGGCGGCUCACUGGUCCAUUACUGACGCUGAGGUGCGAAAGCGUGGGGAGCAAACAGGAUUAGAUACCCCAGUAGUCCCUGUCUCUUAUAC
rnacentral:rRNA from 1 species